AACGAACGCUGGCGGCAGGCUUAACACAUGCAAGUCGAACGCGUGCAGCAAUGCACGAGUGGCGCACGGGUGAGUAACGCGUGGAUAUCUGCCUUUUGGUUCGGAAUAACCCCGGGAAACUGGGGCUAAUACCGGAUGGUUCCUGCGGGAUAAAGAUUUAUCGCCAAAAGAUGAGUCCGCGUACGAUUAGCUAGUUGGUGAGGUAAUGGCUCACCAAGGCGACGAUCGUUAGCUGGUCUGAGAGGACGAUCAGCCACACUGGGACUGAGACACGGCCCAGACUCCUACGGGAGGCAGCAGUGGGGAAUAUUGGACAAUGGGGGCAACCCUGAUCCAGCCAUGCCGCGUGAGUGAUGAAGGCCUUCGGUUGUAAAGCUCUUUUGGUCGGGACGAUGAUGACGGUACCGCAGAAUAAGCCCCGGCUAACUUCGUGCCAGCAGCCGCGGUAA
rnacentral:rRNA from 1 species